GGAUGUGAGGGCGAUCUGGCUGCCAACACCUGUCACCCCAUUGAUCGCCAGGGUUGAUUCGGCCGAUCUGGCUGGCUAGGCGGGUGUCCCCUUCCUCCCUCACUGCUCCACGUGCGCCCCUCCUGAAGCUGUGUGCUCAGUCGAAGAGGAUGGCCUUACCCGGAAAAAGACAGGCUGGUCUUUGGUCGAGGGUAUACGAGUAGCUGCACUCCCCUACUAGAACCUCCAAACAAGAUCUUGAGAAAGAUAGAUGCAGGGUCCAAAUAGUGGCAUAGCUGUUUGGGAAACAUUACCAUGUGCAAGAACCCAGGUUCAAGCCCCUCAGC
rfam:Erinaceus europaeus unplaced genomic scaffold scaffold00550, whole genome shotgun sequence